rnacentral:pre_miRNA from 1 species
AAUGGAAUUGCUGGGUCACGUGGUAACCCUAUGUUUAACUUUUUGAGGAACUGCCAAACUUUUUUCCAAAGGGACUGCACCAUUUUGCAUUCUCACUAGCAAG